AUUGAAAGAAGUGGUUCCACUGUUGAACAUGGUAGUGGCGUUUAUAGUGUCUAAAUUGUGUUAAACAGUGUAAAUGACGACGGGAACAGACGAAAUGGGGAUUUCAAACAUCUUAUUGCACUCACAUACUUGGAAGCAACACACAGAUUUGUAGUUGGAUGGUCGAUAUGCUACAGCCUGUGCGAAGAAUACUUUAUCAAAAUUCACAAAUGGUCAGGCAACACUGAGAGGAGAGACUACAUUGAGGAAGAAGAUUGCCUAGAACAGCCAUCAGUAUUUCAAACAUCAGAAAGUGUGAAGGUAAAGUGGUGGUGUUACGGUGACAUCAAGCUGUGUGACAUAAGUGAACUAGUUCUGAAAACUGUUUUGCCGGACGUGUUUUGGACGAAUAAUAAUGCAAGUGUUUAAAGUCAAAUUGAUCAAAAUAUGUGAACAGUAACGUAACUGUUAAAGAAUACUUACUAAAAUUAGGGAAUUUUGUGGUGUGAUACAGAUGUGAAGUGAAAGUUCUGAAAAAAGUAAAUCUUGUGUCUUGAUAAGACGAGAUUUAAUGAUUCAAUACAGUGUGAAUUGUUUUUGUUGUACAUUAUAAAUAUGUUAUAAAUUGACAUCAUACCAACUAUGUGGAUGGUUGUGGCUGUUGUUUGCAUGGAAAUCUUCGAAAGAUUGAAGAAAAACUGCGCGUACCAAGUGAGAUACUGCCAACACAUGGACUCCUCACAACAAUAAUGAACUCUCUCACGUGUCACUGAUUAUCAGGAACUUUCCAGUGAAGCAAAUUUUGGAACAAUUAAAGAUGAACAGUACCUUGAUAAAUCCUGUAAUACUUCUUCAGUGGAAGAUGAGAUUGAACAAGCGAGUAGCUUCUGGGUGCUCAAGGAUCUUACUUUGAAGACUACUAAGUGUGUGUGAAAAACUUCAGUUAAAUGGGUUACGUUGGAACAGUCACCUACUUGCAGUUUGUACUCCUUUCAGGACAUUUGCUCUAAUUUGAUCAACCGAUUCUGGCGUGUGCUGAAAAUUUAUUAACACACUCUAAAUUCAGACUGAUGCCAGAAUGAACUUCCCAAGAUUAGAUUUAAACCCUGUUGUGGACAUCAGGACCUGUGCUUCCAACAUUCACUAAUUUUUGUAUAGAAACCUGUUGCUUUCAAAGUCAGUAAAUUGAAAGUGUCACCAUUGCUGCUUUGGAAUAACAGGAUUUAACUAAAUUUAUUUUGUAAUAUUUACCUAAUUUAGAAUGUGUGUUUUUAAAAAGCUUAUCUAUAUUUUUUGUUAUGUUCAUAAAGUAAAGGAGAUAAAAACCUGUA